rnacentral:rRNA from 1 species
UGUCUCAGUUCGGAUUGGAGGCUGAAACCCGCCUCCAUGAAGUUGGAUUCGCUAGUAAUCGCGCAUCAGCCAUGGCGCGGUGAAUACGUUCCCGGGCCUUGUACACACCGCCCGUCAAGCCAUGGGAGCCGGGGGUGCCUGAAGUUCGUGACCGCAAGGAGCGACCUAGGGCAAAACUGGUGACUGGGGCUAAGUCGUAACAAGGUAAC